AGUUCGGAUUGCAGGCUGCAACUCGCCUGUAUGAAGUCGGAAUUGCUAGUAAUCGUGGAUCAGCAUGCCACGGUGAAUACGUUCCCGGGCCUUGUACACACCGCCCGUCACACCAUGAGAGCCGGGAACACCCGAAGUCCGUAGUCUAACCUAUAUGGAGGACGCGGCCGAAGGUGGGUUUGGUAAUUGGGGUGAAGUCGUAACAAGGUAAC
rnacentral:rRNA from 1 species